rnacentral:lncRNA from 1 species
UUUUUUUUUUUUUUUUGUCUUUUUUAGGGCCACACCCGGGGCACAUGGAGGUUCCCAGGCUAGGGAUCAAAUUGGAGCUGUAGCUGCCAGCCUACACCGCAACCACAGCAACACGGGAUCCAAGCCACAUCUGUGACCUACACCACAGCUCACAGCAACGCCGGAUCCUUAACCCACUGAGCAAAGCCAGGGAUUGAACCCGCAACCUCAUAGUUCCUAGUCGGAUUCGUUAACCACUGAGCCACGACGGGAACUCCUGUAGGACUUCUCUUAGCAGAAUAUGUAUCUUAUUGAUUCUAUCCUCAGGAGACCUCUGACUGAUACACUGUUCAGGGUCAGACAGCUUAAAGUCACACAGCAAGCCAGUUUGGGGCCAGAACUCAAACCAAGCUUGUUGUGUCCAAAAUCUGUAUUUCCCCUGCACCAAGCUGUCUUUAGAUCACCCCAUCCCACAUGAAACCCUUAUGCAAAGUUCUGUGGUUGUUAAUGGGCCUGAUUUCUAUUUUCCCUCAGAUUAAGUAGUUUGGAAAUCUCAGGUAGGAGAUCCCCGUCCCUAUUUAUUUUUUGUUUUAUUUUUAGGGCCACGACCCCAGCAUAUGCAAGUUCCCAGGCUAAGGGUAGAAUCGGAGCUACAGCUGCUGGCCUACCCCACAGCCAUAGCAAUGCCAGAUCCGAGCCACAUCUGAGACCCAUACCACAGUUUUUGGCAGAGUUGGAUCCUUAACCCACUGAGCAGGGCAUCCUCAUGGAUACUAAUCAGGUUCAUUACCGCUGAGCCGCAAGAACUCCCCUUCACUAUUAAGUCAUGCAGACAGAGGAAAAACAGUCUGUCUUCAUUCUCCCACUCACCUUGUUUGCUUAAGAAUCAUGGCUUUUACAACCACAGAUUGACAGCCCUGAGCCCCAGUGAGCUUGGUGAAAAUGGAGGGAGGAGCUCCCCUGUGGCUCAGGGGGUUAAGGACCUGGCAUUGUCACCACAGUGGCUCACUGCUAUAGUAUGGGUUUGAUUCCUGGCCCCGGAACUUCCACAUGCUAUAGGUGCAGCCAAAAAAAAAGGAGAAAAAGAAAAGGGAGGGAAAGCAGAGAGAGGUCAACCGAGGGUUCUUAGCAAAAGACACCAGUGUGUGGGCUUCAGUGUUCCAUGUAUUCAGGGCCUCGGUUACACUGGGGUUUGAACAGCUUAACUUCAAGGAAUUGGGCCAUUUUAAUUGAAAGGCGUGUUUAGUCUUUUUGUUAAAAAAUCCAAAAGAGAAAAAAAAAAGCCUUUAGGAUUAAGGAAUAUUUUGUCUCUGUGGGACCAUUGAAAGUCUAAAAUAUUUCCCAGCAAGAUCCAUUUGUUCAGCUAUUAAUAUACUUUAUUAUUUUCCCACUAUGGCAAGAAUCUCACUGUUCCUUCAGUUGAUAUCUCUCUGAGAUGGAAAAAAAGAAAUCAUUAUCAUUUCAGGCUUCAAAAAAUCCUAUUUUCCCUCAAAUGCACAGAGAAAAUGGAAGCAGAAGCUGGCUUUGCUGUGUGAAAAAUCCAGACUGAGUAUAUAGGCUUGUCUUGUCUCUUUUUUCCCACCUAUAAAAUUGAAUUAAAAAACAGAAAAGAGGAACUCUCCCUUCAUGACUCAGCGGUCAACGAACCCAACUAGGAUCCAUGAGGAUGUGUAUUCAAUCCCUGGCCUUGCUCAGUGGGUUAAGAAUGCGGCGUUGCCGUGAGUUGUGGUGUAGGUCACACACGCGGCUUUGGAUCUGNAGACGCAGCUUGGAUCUGGUGUUGCUGUGGCUGUGGUGUACACCAGUAGCUGUAGCUCUGAUUCAGCCUCUAGCCUGGGAACUUUCAUAUGCCACAGGUGUGACCCUAAAAAGCAAAAUAAAUAAAUAGAUAAAAUAAAAAACAGAAAAGACAAAUUUAUAAAACUGCCCCUUCAACUGACCUGAGCUAGAAUGAUAUAAAGUACUUAGAGCUUAGUGAUAUAAAGCACCUAUGCUUAAUUUUAAAGUUUCGUUUUGACAUUCAGAUGAAGAUCAAAAAUCUUAUAUAUUAGGAUCUCAAAAAAAAAAAAAAAAGAAUCUUCCCAGCACUCAACACGUCAGAUAUGUUUUUCUUUCGCCAUUCUCUCCGCACUAGGAUGCAAGUUUCAUGAGCCCAGUGAGGUUCCUGCAUUUUCCCCAGAAUCCAGAUGUCUGAUCAACGAUCACCCAGAGCUGAUCACAGCUCUUUGGACCUGCUAUCCUUCCCAUCCCCCAAAAAGGGGUCUUUGGAGUAAGGAAACCCAGGGGUACCGCUAAGAGAGUAUUUGACCCUAUAGGGUCAGACUAGGACGGUCAGGUGCUUAUUCAAAUCAGCAGAGGGUGGUGCUUCAACUCCUGCCCUUGGUCUGAACCCCAAUGCAGACCUCACCGCAUCCCCCACCCAACAACCUGAGGCAUAACUCGGGCCUCCAUUAGUCAGGCAAGCCUGCCUUCUGAUGGCCCUCUUGAGCAGGAUGGGGUUUUGGGGGGUUUUUUUGUCUUUUUUCAGGCUGCUCCCACGGCAUAUGGAGGUUCCCAGGCUAGGGACAAAAAAAUACAUAUAUAUCACCCUUUUAUUGAGUCUAUCCAGUGAGUGAGACUCAUUUAAUCCUCACAACAGCCCAUGAAGCAAAUACUGUCUUACAGAUACAACUGUCCCCACCUUGCUCUUCAAGGACACAGUCUCUGCAUCCUAGGAAUUUAUCAGGAGCAGACAAAUGGUCCCGUAAUUCAAACAAGAGGAAGACUGUGAAUGAUCUAAAAAGGAGACAAGAAUGACCACAGU